GCAUGCCUACAACAUAGAAUUAAUGUAGAAUAUCCCAUUAGAACUAUGCAGUUAAGCAUGCUCAGGUUAUAGUAGAACUGGGAUGGGUGACCGCCCGAGAAGUCCUAGUGAUUUACAUGCC
rnacentral:rRNA from 1 species